rnacentral:rRNA from 1 species
GACGAACGCUGGCGGCGUGCCUAAUACAUGCAAGUAGAACGCUGAAGGAGGAGCUUGCUUCUCUGGAUGAGUUGCGAACGGGUGAGUAACGCGUAGGUAACCUGCCUGGUAGCGGGGGAUAACUAUUGGAAACGAUAGCUAAUACCGCAUAACAGUAGAUGUUGCAUGACAUUUGCUUAAAAGGUGCAAUUGCAUCACUACCAGAUGGACCUGCGUUGUAUUAGCUAGUUGGUGGGGUAACGGCUCACCAAGGCGACGAUACAUAGCCGACCUGAGAGGGUGAUCGGCCACACUGGGACUGAGACACGGCCCAGACUCCUACGGGAGGCAGCAGUAGGGAAUCUUCGGCAAUGGACGGAAGUCUGACCGAGCAACGCCGCGUGAGUGAAGAAGGUUUUCGGAUCGUAAAGCUCUGUUGUAAGAGAAGAACGAGUGUGAGAGUGGAAAGUUCACACUGUGACGGUAUCUUACCAGAAAGGGACGGCUAACUACGUGCCAGCAGCCGCGGUAAUACGUAGGUCCCGAGCGUUGUCCGGAUUUAUUGGGCGUAAAGCGAGCGCAGGCGGUUAGAUAAGUCUGAAGUUAAAGGCUGUGGCUUAACCAUAGUACGCUUUGGAAACUGUUUAACUUGAGUGCAAGAGGGGAGAGUGGAAUUCCAUGUGUAGCGGUGAAAUGCGUAGAUAUAUGGAGGAACACCGGUGGCGAAAGCGGCUCUCUGGCUUGUAACUGACGCUGAGGC